GCCCGGUUAGCUCAAUCGGUAGAGCGUGAGACUCUUAAUCUCAAGGUUGCGGGUAAGUUGUUCUCCUACCAAGAAAAAAUCAGUAGCAACAAAAUUCGCUAACAUCAACAACCAGGUUCGACCCCCGCAUUGGGCU